GACCUCUUGGCUCAGUGGUAGAGCAUCUGAUUCCAGUACAACAGUGGUUUCCAGAAGGUCGUCCGUUCGAUCCGGGCAGAGGUCA